rnacentral:misc_RNA from 1 species
AGUAUCUUAAACAUGACCCCUGCCAGAGAGAUGUUGGCACACGGAGGGAGGGAGUCGAUGAGGGUCUCCCCCUGCCCGUGACUGGCGCUGAAGGAGAAGGGAUGGUUUUCUUCUCAUGCAAUGCCUGCGGUGAUUCACUGAAGAAAAAUCAAGUGGAGAAGCAUUAUGCUACAAAAUGUCGACAGGGGAAGUCCUUGUCUUGCAUUGAUUGUAGCAAAGAGUUCUGGGGAGAAGAGUACAACCAGCACACCAAGUGUAUAUCUGAGGAGGAGAAAUACUCAGGCAAAAACUAUGUUCCAAAAGCCGGGGCCAACAAAGGGGAACAGAAACAAAACCAGUGGGUAGAGCAAGUACAAGCUGCCAUUGAUGGUGCAAAGUCAGACAAGAACAUUCAUCAGUUAUUGCAGAAAAUCAAGGAUUGCCCCAAUAUCCCAAGGAAGCAGGCUAAAUUUAAGGUUAUAGUCUCAAUAUAGUUUUUGAUCCUGUUUUGUAUGUUUAAUAUUGGUGUGCAUUGUGUACGUCAUGAACAUUAACAUAAAAGAUCGUUUUCAUUAUACAUGUAUUAAGUCAGCAGUUCUUGUGUCUGAAGCAUAGUUAACCAUAAAUGCCUUAAAACAAGAGCUCAUCAACUUGUUUUCAGUUUAGAGCCCAGCACCUAAUUCAUAUACACUGUAGUCUUAUUCCUUUUUCUUGACAGUUGUGUCAAAAGAGAAUUUUAUUAAGGUGAAAUAACACACGUGGAAAAAGUCACUCAACAGUAAUUUAUUUGAUUGUGAAAGUUAUAAUGAUAGAUAACCUGUACAUAUGUCAAAUAAGUGAAAAAUAUGCGAUGUAGGGAUACAAAAUGAAUAUCCAAAAAAUUCAAUUUAGUAAGUAACAACAAAAGCCUCAGGGAGAUUUGAAAUCAGGAUGCACGGAUCACAAGGCCGACACUUUAUAAAUUGGCUAUGGAGUAAAUUACAUGUUGCCGUAAAAAAAAACCUUUUAAUAAAACAAAAUGAUCAGAGGUCAGCCAUUUUGUGAUGAAGUGUUAUUCCACCUUAAUGCUAUUUAGGUACUGAUCAUUUGCAUUCAAACCAAACCAAAAUGUUGCACAUCAUUAUUUUGGAGAAUUUCCUGAUCAGCCUAACUAUAAUGAGGUCUAUUUAGAUGUACACACUCAAACUCACGUUGAAAUAUACUUUAAUUUAAACAGAAUUUUGUGAAGAAUUCUCUGCGUGUGCACCAGGAGCGCUGGAUUGACCAGGCAUGGGACCUGAUUAUGAAGCAUGCCGGACAGGUGAGUAUCUGUAGUGCUUUGUGGAAAUCUCUCUUAAUCCAACUCACUCUGUAUAAUAAAGUUCUGUAAAAAAAAUUCUGAUAUACCAAUACAGCAAAGCCCCAAGGUAAAACAAAUACAAUUCCUUAUAAACAUUAUUUGUUAUAUCCAAUAAGUUUUUAAUACCACUCUUUGUAGAUCUCUGUGUCCCAAGUACAAAAAGUUAAAAAAUGAUAAAUAGUAAAACACAGUUAAAACAAAGCCACAAGGAGGAAAAAAAUUUUUUUUAGCUCACCUGUGCCGAAGGCUAAGGUGUGUCUUCUUAUCAAAAUAUGUCCAUUGUUUGAGGUUGUUGUCAUUGUCAUUGUUGCAAACUUUUCACAUCUUCAUCUUCUCAAGAACCACUUCGCCAAUUUUAAUCAAACUUGGCAGCACUAGGUAAAGGGGAUUUAAGCUUGUUCAAAUGAAGAGCCACACCCUCUUUAGAUAAAGGGGGAUAAUUAAGUAUUAUUGAAAAUUUUUGGUAUUUUUUCAAAAAUCUUCUCAUAAAUAAUAUGGAUUAAAAAGCUGGAACUUGUAUGAAAACAUCCUUAGGUAGUAUAUAUUCAUGUUUGUUCAAAUCAUUGUACCCAGGGGUAGGGUGGGGUCAAAAAGGGGGAUCUAAUUUUACAUUAGAGUAUAUUGAGAAAAUCUUAAAAAUAUUCUUAAAAACUGCUUGGCCUGAAAAGCUUAAACUUUUAUGGAAGUAUCCUUAGGUAGAGUAGAUUCAAGUUUAUUCAAGUUAUGGUCCUUGUGGGUAGGUUGGGGCCACAAUGGGGGGGGGGGGGGGGGUCAAGUUUUCCAUAAGAAUAUUUAGAGAAAAACUUUAAAAAUCUUCUUCUCAAAAACCAUUUGGCUAGAAAAUCUUAAACUUGGGUUGAAGCAUCCUCAUAUAGUGUAGAUUCAAGUUUCUUUAAAUCAUGAUCCCUGGGGUAUGGUGGGACUACAAUGGGGGGGGGGCUUCAAAUUUUUACAAAGGAUGAUCUCGGGGGAAAAUCUUUGAAAAUCUUCUGGUAAAGCAUUCAGCCUUAAAAGCUUAAAGUUGUGUAAAAGCACAGUUUGUACAGAUGAAAGCUUGACCAAAACAUGAUUCUCUGGAGAAAAGUGAGACAACAAAGGAGGGAUUUUUAUUUUGGAAUAGAAAUAGAGGAAUAGAUAAAAUUUUAUCACAAAUACUAAAACAGCAAAAUAGGGGUUUUGGUGUUUACCUUAAAAAUAUGUUAAUAACAUUUGGCAGAUUUUUUUUUCUUUUUUGUGCAAUGUCUACUGUACCUAAUUGUCAAGAUAUUUUGAUUUUAAUACUGUAUUGCUGAUUUGAUCAGAAUUAUGACUAUUGUUGCUCAGGUGAGUGAUGUGGCCCCUGGGUCUCUUGUUUAUAAGAUUAAUUAAUUAGGGUAUUAUAAGUUAUGUGGUUUAAGUUUUUAAUCCAAUUUAAAGACAGAGGAAUGGAAGUAACUUUGCUAUAAGCACGGAAUCAUUAUCAUUAUCAUUAUCACUAUAAAUGUGCUCAAUGUUCUUAUGUAACUCUGAAGUAUACAUCUUUUGCUGUUUGUACAAGGUAUUUUUACUAGUAUCUGUAUUCAUCAAAAAUAGAUUUAAUAUGGCCACAAAAUAUAUCUUUUUGUUUUAUUCUACAAGGCAAAUGCUGUAAAUGAGCCACCUCCAGAGAAACCGGUGAAUGGGGCCCAUGAGGGGCAGUCCAAGGCAGAGAAAGAGAAAGAACAGAAAGAACAAAC